GCGCCCGUAGCUCAGUUGGAUAGAGUAUCGGUUUCCGAAACCGGGGGUCACAGGUUCGAAUCCUGUCGGGCGCGCCA
rnacentral:tRNA from 1 species